AUUGAACGCUGGCGGCAGGCCUAACACAUGCAAGUCGAACGAGUGGCGGACGGGUGAGUAAUGUCUGGGAAACUGCCUGAUGGAGGGGGAUAACUACUUGAAACGGUAGCUAAUACCGCAUACCAUCGGAUGUGCCCAGAUGGGUUUAGCUAGUUGGUGGGGUAAAGGCUCACCUAGCCGACGAUCCCUAGCUGGGCUGAGAGGAUGGCCAGCCACGCUGGAACUGAGACACGGUCCAGACUCCAAGGGUAGGCAGGGGUGGAGAAUAUUGCACAAGUGGCUCAAGCCUGAUGCAGCCCUGCCGCGUGUAGGAAGAAGGCAUUCGUGUAGUAAAGUACUUUCAGCGGGGAGGCGUUACCCGCAGAAGAAGCACCGGCUAACUCCGUGCCAGCAGCCGCGGUAAUAC
rnacentral:rRNA from 1 species